rnacentral:piRNA from 1 species
UACUAACACUACAGAUCUCAAAGCAAGCA